GAAUGUGAGGGCGAUCUAGCUGUGACAUCUGUCACCCCAUUGAUCACCAGGGUUGAUUCAGCUGAUCUGGCUGGCUAGGGGAGUGUCCUCUUCCUCCUCAUAGCUGCAUGUGUAUCCUUCCCCAAGCUGCGCACUUGGUCAAAAAGGAUGACCAUCUCCGUUAGAGGAGGAAUGUUCUUCAGUCAAGGGUAUACAGGCAACUGUGCUUCCCCACUAGAACCUGCAAACAAGCUCUCAAGAAACGUUCAUAAAAACCUGCAGAGGCCUCACAAGAUGAAGGUUUUGAAAAAAAAAAAGAAACAACAACAACAAAAAAAACACCUUU
rnacentral:snRNA from 1 species